UUGCCCUUUUCAUAAGCGGAGGAAAAGAAACCAACCGGGAUUGCCUUAGUAACGGCGAGUGAAGCGGCAAAAGCUCAAAUUUGAAAUCUGGUACCUUCGGUGCCCGAGUUGUAAUUUGGAGAGGGCAACUUUGGGGCCGUUCCUUGUCUAUGUUCCUUGGAACAGGACGUCAUAGAGGGUGAGAAUCCCGUGUGGCGAGGAGUGCGGUUCUUUGUAAAGUGCCCUCGAAGAGUCGAGUUGUUUGGGAAUGCAGCUCUAAGUGGGUGGUAAAUUCCAUCUAAAGCUAAAUAUUGGCGAGAGACCGAUAGCGAACAAGUACAGUGAUGGAAAGAUGAAAAGAACUUUGAAAAGAGAGUGAAAAAGUACGUGAAAUUGUUGAAAGGGAAGGGCAUUUGAUCAGACAUGGUGUUUUGUGCCCUCUGCUCCUUGUGGGUAGGGGAAUCUCGCAUUUCACUGGGCCAGCAUCAGUUUUGGUGGCAGGAUAAAUCCAUAGGAAUGUAGCUUGCCUCGGUAAGUAUUAUAGCCUGUUGGGAAUACUGCCAGCUGGGACUGAGGACUGCGACGUAAGUCAAGGAUGCUGGCAUAAUGGUUAUAUGCCGCCCGUCUUGACCGGGACCAA
rnacentral:rRNA from 1 species